UCACCUAAUUGAAGGUUGCAAUAUGAAACUUCUGUGUAUUAGACAACUGAAAAUCUGUGCUCAAAAGCAGUGAAUAGCAAGCCAUUAAAAAAUCUUCAGUUGAUGAAUUUAUCUUCUGCACAAGGAGCSAACAUAAGCAGUUUUGCUGCUCACAGAAUGUCCAGAUUUAUACAUGUAUUUUUUUCAUGAGGCCAGUACCUGGAAUUCUUGUGCCUGGAAUUGACUCAUAUCUAGUAAAUGCUAUAAAUGUCUGUUAUGCCAUCAGUGGCACAGAAGAAUACGACAUCAUCUAUACCCUGUGCUGCUCAGAAGAUGUGUUCUCUGAGAAUUGUGGUCUACAGAUGGAGCAGGAAGGCUGAAGGCAUGGAUACAUCUGAACAAGACACGCACCUUAUUCAGUGAAUUACUAAUARCUCAUUGAUUGCCUUGCUACAGCAGUGACAAAACAGUAACAGAGAGCAGAACUAACUCCCAUAUCGGGUAACAUACACACACUCGCUGGUCCUUUAACACACUGCUCUCCUCCUUUCUCGUAAAAUCUUUUUUUCCAUCUUUAAAUAUUACAUGUUUUUCCCUUAUGAAUAAUAGUUUGUUUACAGUGUGRUAUCUUAA